CCUACGGGAGGCAACAGUGAGGAAUAUUGGUCAAUGGGCGCUAGCCUGAACCAGCCAAGUAGCGUGAAGGAUGACUGCCCUAUGGGUUGUAAACUUCUUUUAUAUGGGAAUAAAGUGCAGUAUGUAUACUGCUUUGCAUGUACCUUAUGAAUAAGGAUCGGCUAACUCCGUGCCAGCAGCCGCGGUAAUACGGAGGAUCCGAGCGUUAUCCGGAUUUAUUGGGUUUAAAGGGAGCGUAGGCGGGUUGUUAAGUCAGUUGUGAAAGUUUGCGGCUCAACCGUAAAAUUGCAGUUGAUACUGGCAGCCUUGAGUACAGUAGAGGUAGGCGGAAUUCGUGGUGUAGCGGUGACAUGCUUAGAUAUCACGAAGAACUCCGAUUGCGAAGGCAGCCUGCUGGACUGUAACUGACGCUGAUGCUCGAAAGUGUGGGUAUCAAACAGGAUUAGAUACCCUGGUAGUC
rnacentral:rRNA from 1 species